rnacentral:tRNA from 1 species
GGCGCGGUAGCAAAGCGGUUAUGCACCGGAUUGCAAAUCCGAUCAGCCCAGUUCGACUCUGGGCCGCGCCUCCA